ensembl:lncRNA
UUUUUUUAAUGGUAUCAUAAGCAUACAUUUUAAAACGCUUGCCUGCUUGGAAUGCACUGUUCUCUAGCUCACAUUUUAGUCUCUGCACCAUGCCACUGGAAAUUACUUGCAACAUUCACAAGCAUUUCCUCGCUUCCACUGACAGAAAACAUAUACUAUCCAUUAUUUUUAUGCAAAUGAGCGAACAGCUAUUCAUCUGCUUUAAAAACAAGGUGCUUGGGCAUUAUUUACUUCUCUCAUCCAGCAAACCAUUUAUUAGUUGGAUACUGUCAGAUUGAACUCGCUAUUGCCAUGUUCAAAACUAGACAUACAUUAAGUGCUCCAUGAUUCAUUCUGCCCUAUAAGCCCUCUUGUCUUCUACAUUUGUUUGCCUUCAGACAGUUUUUAGAGUUUGACUUUUCAAUCUCUUCUCCCAUCCCCAAUCCCAAUGGCUUUAUCAGGCUUGUCCAUGUCAAUGAAGUCAGGAUUAGGCCCUCCAUUUGUAACUGUGCCAGUGCUGUAGAAAAACCAACACAUACCAGAAGUCAACAACAAGAGAAAUACAAUGUUGAACUAGAUUAAGUGGUCGUCUCCAUAUAACUCUACACAAUACUGAUCAAGAUUUUCAGAGAAUAGAACCAUUUGAGUAGGAAGGAAUCCUCAAAGGCCACCUAGUCCAACUCCCCCGCAAUGAACAAUGACACCAACAGCUAGAUGAGGUUGCUCAGAGCCCUGUGCAACCUGAUCUUGAAUGUCCCCAGGGACGGGGCAUCCACCACCUCUUUGGGCAACCUGUUCCAGAGCCUCCUCACCCUCGCUGUAAAACGCUUCCUCCUUAUGUCCAAUCUAAACCUUCUCUCUUUUAGUUUCAAAUCAUUUCCUCUUGUCCUGUCCCAGACUUUUUAGGGGAACCCUCAGGCUCUACAACAAUAAAAUUACUACAUAUUGUAACUAAUGAGUACUCAGUGCUGAUUUUCAACAUGCAAGAAAAAAAAAACUCCAAAUGGGUACUAUAAAGCAGCUUUAAAAGGAAGACAAAAAAGGUUACUGAUCUUAAAAGUAGUUUUUUUUUUUUUGUUUCUUUGUUUUUUUGUAAUCUGCUUAGAAAUACACUGAUUAAAAGAAAUCUCUACCGAAAACAAAGGCUCAGAUGAGCAGUAAGUAGAGAAAGUAAAAUGUUUUUAAAACUGAUUGCAUAGCGUGACGUACGCAAUUAUAAAGAUAAUAAUAACGUGGAAGAGUAGAAGGAUGAUGUGAGUUGAAGACAAUGCUUUAGACUUAAAGCUCUUAAAGUGAAACACCGUUGCCUCAUUUUACUGGAAACAAGCGCAGUACGUGGGGAAAUACAGGCACAGACGGUGCUAUUUUAAAUCUACUCUGCACCACAGAAAUAUCGAAGUGUUCUCAGUUUUUAGUCAUCGUGGAAACUGUUUUGAGAACAGCAAAUAUAUCUACUGAAGCGUGUCUUUGAUUUCCAGGACUUUUGGGGAAGUUCCUGUCUAAAAGCUCGCAUGAAAACUCGCCGUGUGACUUCGGGGCGCCCACCUCCCAGCCCGCCCUCGCCGUGCAGCGGGCGACAUGUCCGCGUUCCGUGACCGCUGCGGGCAUCGUUCUCGUCUUCGGGGCAGACGUGCCGAACACACGCUCCCUCGUCCUUCGGUGCGUUCCUUCACUCAUCCAGCAGCGCCCUAAGCUCCCCGCCUUCCAAGCCCUCUGCUCCACCGACCGCUGUGAGCUUUCCUUUUGGCUACGCAGCCAGCGCAACGGGCAUUUCUAUCUUUCAAGCUCGCGAUUUGCGAUACUCCCACCCGACACACGCCUCGACCGCGGACACAGAACGCGGGGAGGGGCGGGGCGGCCGGCACGGGGCUCGCCGUGCUCCCCAACCCCACGGUCCCGCUCCCCCUCG